rnacentral:rRNA from 1 species
GAUGAACGCUGGCGGCGUGCCUAAUACAUGCAAGUCGAGCGAACGGACGAGAAGCUUGCUUCUCUGAUGUUAGCGGCGGACGGGUGAGUAACACGUGGAUAACCUACCUAUAAGACUGGGAUAACUUCGGGAAACCGGAGCUAAUACCGGAUAAUAUUUUGAACCGCAUGGUUCAAAAGUGAAAGACGGUCUUGCUGUCACUUAUAGAUGGAUCCGCGCUGCAUUAGCUAGUUGGUAAGGUAACGGCUUACCAAGGCAACGAUGCAUAGCCGACCUGAGAGGGUGAUCGGCCACACUGGAACUGAGACACGGUCCAGACUCCUACGGGAGGCAGCAGUAGGGAAUCUUCCGCAAUGGGCGAAAGCCUGACGGAGCAACGCCGCGUGAGUGAUGAAGGUCUUCGGAUCGUAAAACUCUGUUAUCAGGGAAGAACAUAUGUGUAAGUAACUGUGCACAUCUUGACGGUACCUAAUCAGAAAGCCACGGCUAACUACGUGCCAGCAGCCGCGGUAAUACGUAGGUGGCAAGCGUUAUCCGGAAUUAUUGGGCGUAAAGCGCGCGUAGGCGGUUUUUUAAGUCUGAUGUGAAAGCCCACGGCUCAACCGUGGAGGGUCAUUGGAAACUGGAAAACUUGAGUGCAGAAGAGGAAAGUGGAAUUCCAUGUGUAGCGGUGAAAUGCGCAGAGAUAUGGAGGAACACCAGUGGCGAAGGCGACUUUCUGGUCUGUAACUGACGCUGAUGUGCGAAAGCGUGGGGAUCAAACAGGAUUAGAUACCCUGGUAGUCCACGCCGUAAACGAUGAGUGCUAAGUGUUAGGGGGUUUCCGCCCCUUAGUGCUGCAGCUAACGCAUUAAGCACUCCGCCUGGGGAGUACGACCGCAAGGUUGAAACUCAAAGGAAUUGACGGGGACCCGCACAAGCGGUGGAGCAUGUGGUUUAAUUCGAAGCAACGCGAAGAACCUUACCAAAUCUUGACAUCCUUUGACAACUCUAGAGAUAGAGCUUUCCCCUUCGGGGGACAAAGUGACAGGUGGUGCAUGGUUGUCGUCAGCUCGUGUCGUGAGAUGUUGGGUUAAGUCCCGCAACGAGCGCAACCCUUAAGCUUAGUUGCCAUCAUUAAGUUGGGCACUCUAAGUUGACUGCCGGUGACAAACCGGAGGAAGGUGGGGAUGACGUCAAAUCAUCAUGCCCCUUAUGAUUUGGGCUACACACGUGCUACAAUGGACAAUACAAAGGGCAGCGAAACCGUGAGGUCAAGCAAAUCCCAUAAAGUUGUUCUCAGUUCGGAUUGUAGUCUGCAACUCGACUACAUGAAGCUGGAAUCGCUAGUAAUCGUAGAUCAGCAUGCUACGGUGAAUACGUUCCCGGGUCU